rnacentral:rRNA from 1 species
GACAGAGGGUGCAAACGUUGUUCGGAAUUACUGGGCGUAAAGCGCGUGUAGGCGGCUCGGCAAGUCGGGUGUGAAAGCCCUGGGCUUAACCUAGGAAGUGCACUCGAAACUGCCAAGCUUGAGUUCUGGAGAGGAAGGCGGAAUUCUCGGUGUAGAGGUGAAAUUCGAAGAUAUCGAGAGGAACACCGGUGGCGAAGGCGGCCUUCUGGACAGCAACUGACGCUGAGACGCGAAAGCGUGGGGAGCAAACAGG